UAGGGAAUCUUCCACAAUGGACGAAAGUCUGAUGGAGNAACGCCGCGUGAGUGAAGAAGGGUUUCGGCUCGUAAAACUCUGUUGUUAAAGAAGAACAUAUCUGAGAGUAACUGUUCAGGUAUUGACGGUAUUUAACCAGAAAGCCACGGCUAACUACGUGCCAG
rnacentral:rRNA from 1 species